rnacentral:rRNA from 1 species
AUCACUUUAAUUUGAUGAAUAUUAUUAAGCAAUAAAUAUAUUUAAAUAUGGAUUUCAAAGAUUAAUAACAAAUAUCCAGUUUAAAAUUUUAAAUAAUUUAAGAAAUUAUAAUUUAGAUAGUUUUUUAAUUUAGGUUUAUUAGGUGCCAGCAACCGCGGUCAAACCUAAUAAGUUAGCUUACACACCUAGUGGGUAAAGAUUUUUUUUUCUUUAAAGUAAUAUAAUAAGUAGUGAAAUAUUAUUAUAAGUAUUAAUUCAUAGAAGUAAGUAUUGGAAUAAAUUCAUAUAUAAAACUAGGAUUAGAGACCCUACUAUUAUGAACUCAAUUAAUUAUUCAUUAAGAAGUAAAACUAUAUAGUUCAAACUUAAAAAUUAUGGCGGCUAAAUAAAACACUUAGGGGAACUUACCAUAUAAUUGAUAAUCACCAAGUACAAUCAUACUUACUACUUAAAAUUUGUAUACCGUUGUCUUCAUAAACCCUUUCGAAAGGGUUUAUGAAUAUUAAAUAAAUAUUAAGACAAAUCAAGGUGCAGUCUAUUAGUAAGAACUGAGGUGAGUUACAAUAAAAAUUUUUAUUUCGAAGUUUUUAAUGAAAGAUAAUAUUAAGAUGGACUUAAAAGUAAUAUAUAAGCAUAAAUAAAAUAUGAAUUUGUUUUGUUUGAGUGUA